CCAGAAUGAUAUCAUUUAACAACAGAAAAAGGCAGAAAUUGCAUUGGACCCGCCCCCGACGACGCCGGCCAAUAGGAGAAGACCUCCGAUGACAACAGGAAGAGCAAGCCAAGGAUUGACCUCUUUCUACCGGGUGACCUGGACUGACCGGGUGGAUGAGGAGAGCGCCUCCACUCGCACAUUUCAUUUUGUACACCACCGCAUCUUUUGUGACAAUUCUGGAGAAAUGGAUCUGCUGGAGAAGGACCCCUAAUCUGAAAAGUGCACAGCGGAUCAUCAGGACAGAGCUUCCAUCCACCUGGACCCCCCGAGGUGCUGGAGAAGGACCCCGAACCCCAAUGGAUCAUCAGGACAGAGCUCCAUCCAGCUGGACCCCCCAAGGUGCUGGAGAAAGCAAAACGGCGAUCAGGAACAUCCUCCACCCAGACCUCUGCUUACUGCCGUCCUACAGACUUGUGUCUUACUUUCAGAAUUUGAUUUUGUAUGUGUCCUUUCUUUUAAUAUCUAACAAUUAUAGCUUGAGUCUGUCUGAUUCCCCAAACAGCUGCUUCUAUAUACUUGCUGCACAUAUAAUAAAAAUAAACAACUCCAUAAACACA